CAGCAGCUAAGGGGGGAAGGAGCUCUCCCAGAGAAGAGGGGAGAGGCCUGACUGUAGGAGCAGCUUCUGUCACUGCUGGAUGACGGAGGAUUCUCCGGAUCUGGAAGACACUUGCUAGCCUUGGCCUUCCAAAACAUAGAGACUCCAGCAGUCUGUGUAUCAGAAGUGACAGCAGCCAGAUACCACCUGAGAAAAGACUCCACUCACCUCAGGACAGCACAAACAACAAAACUCAGCAGGCACCUAAUAACCUACUAGCUAUAACUAGUUGCAGCCCACAACCUGGGAAGCUGCCACUGGUUUUGUGGUCAUAAGUUCAAAGAUUGAAGUUUGGAUGCUGGAGUGAUGAUAUUCGUUGUGCUUUCACACUUAGCAGGGAAGACCACAAGCAGGUUGUCAUCUUCCCUGAAAUCCAGUCUGCAGCAACAGUGUGCAACAAAAAUUUGGCUGUAGAUCCAACCAUCAAGCUUCUGGGUUUCCACCAGCAAUGUAAAUAUUGGACAACACUGAACUGCAUUUGUAAAGGACAUGGAACACAUGUGCCUAUUUAUUGAACAAAUGGGGCAUCAAGGUCUUGCCGAACUGCAUAUGUGGUAAGGUGUAGUUAAUGAGCCACUUUGCAAACUCCAGCCCUGAACCCGCAUAUCAUGGAGGGAUUGAAGCAAUCCACUUUGAUAUCCAGUUGAUGACAUCCAGGCCAGCUAACCUUAACAUACAGCUUUAAUUAACCCGCACCUUCUCUGCUGUUGCUUGCCCUAGCCAUAUGAGAGAAGAACCCAGGAAUUGGGUUCUUUAAUUCACCUCCACCCCCCUAGCCUGAAGGAACUCGGGCUCAUGUCUCCCACCUAAGUACAGAAUGGGCUUGGGCACCACAUACUCCUGUCAAGAAAAUGGGACCAGCCUGCAGACCAGGGAAGUCCUGGGGUCCCAGUAGAGUAGCUAGGACAUGAUGAAUCCUGGGUGUGACAAGAAUUUAAGAUAUGGAAUAUAGUACUGUUACUUUGUUCAUUUAUUUGAAGGUGGGAGUUUGAGAGACUUUGAUUGUUUGGAAGGGACCAUAAGUUUGUGACACAAAGCCUGAGGCCCUCCAUGAUGGAAAACAUCCUGUGCUUGCCUGUGCGGCCACAGGGUUGUACCAGGAAACAACAAGCCACUUUGCAUGAAGAAUGACUGAAAUUCCAGGCAAUAUUUCUGCAAUUGGUGUGGGUUUAGCUGAAGCAGGCAGAGAUGCAGCAGCAUAGAGAGGCUGAGAUAGCCUUGACUGAAUCAUAGUACAGCAACCAAAGAGGUGAGGCAAAGAGGCUAAGGAGCAGCAGGGUAGCCACAAAAAAGUCUGUGUGUGAGAGACCUAGAGAGCACAGAAUGUUCACCUCUAUAGGGGGAUGACCAAAAUGAGGAUUAGCCAGAUGAGAUGGAGACAUUAACUUGUGCACUGAAAAGUGAGGCACAUGGAAAACCUGCACAGGGUGAUAUGACAGAGAUGAGAACCCAUGGGGUGGGGGGGGAUGGAGGGCAGUACAACUGGGACAUGGGCAGUCAGGGCUUGACUCAGAGGGUCACAAGCCAAGAUAUCAAGAACAGACAAGUUCAGGAAACAAGGUUCCCAACUAAAGUCAUGAGUAAGGGGAUCAAGAGCAGUCAAGAAAGGAGGCUGAGGUCUGUAAGGGACAUGCACAAGAUGUUCUCCAUCUUGGUUGACUCUUUUUUGACCCUAAGGUUUGUGUCACAAACUCAUGCCCCUUUCCAAACAAUCAAAGUCUCUCCAAUUCUCACCUCCGAAGACAAACACAGUCAUCCUCAGUAGAGCCAUGAGCCAGAGAGCAAGGGGUCAGAAACAAGAGCCAAGUGUCCAAACCAGUUACUAGCCAGGGUGUCCAGAGCAGGCAGCCAGGAAGUGGUAAGCCAACAAACAGGAUCCAGGAAGCUAGGAACAAGCAGACAGGAACCAAGAACUGGGAAACUUGAGCUGCUGAGUUUUUGUUUCUAACCUAAAGAGAGAGACAUCUGUUCUGUUGAGUAACUGGGAGUCAACUGGAAUUAGUUAGACUGCUGGCAGCCAAGUCCACUCAGUCAACUGGGACCAGCUGGAGGCAAUUUUGCCUGCCUGCUGUCCAGAGUCCUAACAGUAUGCAGAACCUUCCCUCAGAGGUGUGGGCUUAAAGAAGGUAUAAGCUCUGAUCCCAGGAAAAGAGAUUGCAAUGACUGCUUCCUGGGAACUACUGCCAAGGCUGGGAUACCGCUGCAGUUAGCAAGGAUGGCUAAAAAUUAAGACGGUGACUUUCCUGAUCUUUCCUGAAGAAAAUCUGUCCUUAAAUUGGGUAUCAUUUUGGUAAUGAUAACCUGAUGAGGAACACAUUCCUAAAAGAGCCAAUUAGGCUAAAUGUAGAUUGGGUGUCAUUAGAAGUACUGGUCAAAUUUAAUAAAUUAUUCAGUCUUUCCAAAGACUGAUUUUAUAGAGGCAUUCAGAAAAUCUGUAGCGGUACUCUAGUCUUCCAUAAUUCAAAUUAAGGUAUUUUCAAAUAAACCCCACUCUGAAGUGAA